AUGUGUGUUAUAUUGUCAAUCAGAAUGUUAGGUAAUUUUUUGAUGCACAAACGUAGAGAAGAUGAUGAAUUGGCCAUCAUCCAAGCUUUGUAUGCUAGUGAUGGAAGCUCGGCCAGUCACACACGUAUUCAUACAUCCAUCCUUGCGGGAGAUCGGUACGCGCGAGAAGUUCUAGAGGGUCAUGAGUUGAGAUGCAAACGAGAUUUUUGGAUGGAGAAGUACAUUUUUUGUAAUUUGGUCAUGUGCCGUCGAGAAACAUGCCAUCUAAGAGAUACAAAUUUUUUCUCAGUGGAAGAAUAG
rnacentral:rRNA from 1 species